rnacentral:rRNA from 1 species
AUUGAACGCUGGCGGCAGGCUUAACACAUGCAAGUCGAGCGGGGUGAUGGUGCUUGCACUAUCACUUAGCGGCGGACGGGUGAGUAAUGCUUAGGAAUCUGCCUAUUAGUGGGGGACAACAUCUCGAAAGGGAUGCUAAUACCGCAUACGUCCUACGGGAGAAAGCAGGGGAUCACUUGUGACCUUGCGCUAAUAGAUGAGCCUAAGUCGGAUUAGCUAGUUGGUGGGGUAAAGGCCUACCAAGGCGACGAUCUGUAGCGGGUCUGAGAGGAUGAUCCGCCACACUGGGACUGAGACACGGCACAGACUCCUACGGGAGGCAGCAGUGGGGAAUAUUGGACGAUGGGGGGAACCCUGAUCCAGCCAUGCCGCGUGUGUGAAGAAGGCCUUAUGGUUGUAGAGCACUUUAAGCGAGGAGGAGGCUCUUUUGGUUAAUACCCAAGAUGAGUGGACGUUACUCGCAGAAUAAGCACCGGCUAACUCUGUGCCAGCCGCCGCAGUAA